GUCGAAAAUUCUGGCCUUUUUUCUGAAUAGUUUGGGAAUUGGAGGUCGAUUAGACAGUUGAUUCUUUGCUGAUACAUUGUGAUUGAUUUGAAAAUUUUGGAUUUUGGAUUUUGUUAAACAUGUACAUGUACUAGUCGAAUUAUUAUUAUUCAUCAUUUCAAAUAGUUAUAUCAAUUUCAUUAGAAAUGGGAGACACAUUUACAGUUAUAUUGAAUUUUUAGCUGUACAAUACCCAAUUUUGUAUAAUUAUAUUGAUAUUUAAUAGUAAUGUGAUAUUUUUGAUAAUUAUAUAAAUACAUAGGUGGAGAAUGCGACAAUAUAUUAAAGAUAACAUUGAUUCUUUUAGAUUUAGAACGUGACAUUUCUAAUAAUGAUAUUCGGGUGUUGAAUGCGACAUUUUUAACAAUUAUAUAUACUGAUUGUUUUAGAUGCAGAGUGCGACAUUUUAGACUAGUAUAAUAUUAUUGUUCUUUGGUUUUUCGUUUGUUUUCAGAUGACGUAAGAAAACAUCACUGGAUUACUUUUGAAAGACAAAACUAGAUAAAAUUGUAUAUUUCUAAAUAUUACCACUAUAUAAUUCAUACUAUUGCAAAAAAUGUUUAUUGAUCAUUUAGCAGACGUAAAGCAGGAAAUGGCGGGAAGAAUCCUAGCAGACGACAGUUGUCGCGCAGAUGCAAUCAUGCACCAUAUCAGACUGCCCGAAAUUACAGGCUGGCCCAGCUCUAUACUGGACUCGCUUUCAGCAUGUUAGGGUUUGAAAAAGGAAAUCAUAACUUUGUAACGUAGCAGCCGACAAUAAAUGUUAAAGUGGAAAAUUGCGACUUCCGGUGUGUCUGCUACUCGAUGUUGUGAUCUCAGUUACUUCCCCUGACGUUCAGUAUAUGAAAUGAGGGUCGAGUUUCAGGAUUUGAAAUUAAGAAAGAACGAAAGAUAUGAAAUGAGCACCGGCAAACUGAUCUUGGCAUGUUACAUCCUUAUCACAGAACUGGAACCUACUGAUUAUGAUGAGGUAAAAGUAUAUUUUAUGAAUAUAUGUAUAGAUUUGUUUCUUAGCCUGCUGAAAGCGAAAGUCAUUAGUCUUUGCCUCCAGAAUAGAGCCCGGCCAGCCUGCACAUUUGUGCAGUUUGACCAGCCUCUUUACUGUUUGCUAACUUCCAAUUUUCAUUUUCAUGUGAUAAUUAGUUAUAAUAAUUUAUAAUGGACUGUUCCUUAAAUAAAAUAUUGAAAAGUCCAUUUAAUAAUUUCCGCAGGUUAAAGCAGCAUGCCUCCAGAU